CACCGUCCUGCAAAGAGGAAAAUGUGAGGAUUAGAAUAACUUUGGAAUAAUUUACAGACUCAACUUUGAAAAAGAGGAAGGGGAGACAAAAGAGCACAAAGCAGUCGGUCUUACUUUUCUGCGGUACAUAAGCUCAUAGCGGUGAUUGAUGUGUGCUGGAGCCCUGCGAGACAGAGUCCAGGACAGAGACAGACUGGUGGGGCUGCGAUCAUCCAGAUGGAUCAGCGUCACCUUGGGGGGAUCUAACGGUCGGUGAGAGACAGAAAGCAUAAUAAUGGCUCAGUGAGCACGAGCCCGCAGCCCAUUGAGAAACAGGUGGCGUCAUAGCUCCGCCCCACGAGCUUUGGAAUGUUGAAGUUCUCCAAAUAUGUGCAUGCGUGCUUCUGGAGAGCAGACUGCGGCCUCACAUCAGCCCUCAAACACCCCCUCCCCUCAGGUCCCAAGCUUCUGAGGGUGAUGACAACACAAAAGUACUUCACACUGGGGGCUGGGUCUGCAUUUUGUGGGUCAGUGAAUAGCAGGCCAGAGCAGCAACGCCAUGUCAUUCAGACCCAGCUCCUCUCACACCCCCCUGCUUUCCUUACACGUCUUGUGGUAUCAGCAAACAGAGAGGUGGAUUAUCGAAAGCAACGGGGAGUUUUUGUGUAAUUUCAACAUAAAAUGCACCUACUGUUUUCCACAUCUCCACCAUCUCAUUGAGGGCCUCCCAAACCCUUGUUAAGAACUGAUGGAUUCCCGCCUUUGUUUAUACGUUUUGAUGGCUUAAGCCUUACCGUCAGUGGUAGAAGAAGCAUGCAUAUUAUUUACUUAAGUAAAAUAGCAAUGCCACACAACAACCAAUAGCAGUCCUACAUUUAAAUGUUUUAAAGUACUUAUAUAUCUGAAUGAGAAUAAGAAUAAAGUAUAUUACCAAGUAGGUUUUCAAUUACAAGGUAUUUGCCUUGGUGUUA